rnacentral:rRNA from 1 species
UACGAAGGGGGCUAGCGUUGCUCGGAAUUACUGGGCGUAAAGCGCACGUAGGCGGCUCUUUAAGUCGGGGGUGAAAUCCUGGAGCUCAACUCCAGAACUGCCUUCGAUACUGUAGAGCUUGAGUCCGGGAGAGGUGAGUGGAACUCCGAGUGUAGAGGUGAAAUUCGUAGAUAUUCGGAAGAACACCAGUGGCGAAGGCGGCUCACUGGCCCGGUACUGACGCUGAUGUGCGAAAGCGUGGGGAGCAAACAGG